rnacentral:rRNA from 1 species
CCUUACGGCUCAGUAACACGUGGAUAACCUACCCUUAGGAUAGGAACAACCCCGGGAAACUGGGGAUAAUUCCGGAUAACGCACAUAUGCUGGAAUGCUUUAUGCGUAAAAUGGAUUCGUCUGCCCAAGGAUGGGUCUGCGGCCUAUCAGGUAGUAGUGGGUGUAAUGUACCUACUAGCCUACAACGGGUACGGGUUGUGAGAGCAAGAGCCCGGAGAUGGAUUCUGAGACAUGAAUCCAGGCCCUACGGGGCGCAGCAGGCGCGAAAACUUUACAAUGCGGGAAACCGUGAUAAGGGGACACCGAGUGCCAGCAUCAUAUGCUGGCUGUCCGGGUGUGUAAAAUACACCUGUUAGCAAGGGCCGGGCAAGACCGGUGCCAGCCGCCGCGGUAACACCGGCGGCCCGAGUGGUGAUCGUGAUUAUUGGGUCUAAAGGGUCCGUAGCCGGUUUGGUCAGUCCUCCGGGAAAUCUGAUAGCUCAACUAUUAGGCUUUCGGGGGAUACUGCCAGGCUUGGAACCGGGAGAGGUAAGAGGUACUACAGGGGUAGGAGUGAAAUCUUGUAAUCCCUGUGGGACCACCUGUGGCGAAGGCGUCUUACCAGAACGGGUUCGACGGUGAGGGACGAAAGCUGGGGGCACGAACCGGAUUAGAUACCCGGGUAGUCCCAGCCGUAAACGAUGCUCGCUAGGUGUCAGGCAUGGCGCGACCGUGUCUGGUGCCGCAGGGAAGCCGUGAAGCGAGCCACCUGGGAAGUACGGCCGCAAGGCUGAAACUUAAAGGAAUUGGCGGGGGAGCAC